AAUGAACGCUGGCGGCAUGCCUAACACAUGCAAGUCGAACGAAGGCUUCGGCCUUAGUGGCGCACGGGUGCGUAACGCGUGGGAAUCUGCCCUCAGGUUCGGAAUAACAGCGAGAAAUUGCUGCUAAUACCGGAUGAUAUCGCGAGAUCAAAGAUUUAUCGCCCGAGGAUGAGCCCGCGUAGGAUUAGCUAGUUGGUGUGGUAAAGGCGCACCAAGGCGACGAUCCUUAGCUGGUCCGAGAGGAUGAUCAGCUACACUGGGACUGAGACACGGCCCAGACUCCUACGGGAGGCAGCAGUGGGGAAUAUUGGACAAUGGGCGAAAGCCUGAUCCAGCAAUGCCGCGUGAGUGAUGAAGGCCUUAGGGUUGUAAAGCUCUUUUACCCGGGAUGAUAAUGACAGUACCGGGAGAAUAAGCUCCGGCUAACUCCGUGCCAGCCGCCGCAGUAA
rnacentral:rRNA from 1 species